UGGGAUCAAAUCCUAUUGCAGAUAGUGAGUUGACCUGAGUGGGGACUUCAUUAGCAUUCUCUUUAAUGAUGCAGGGUCCAUUGGGCCCUUCAUACAUUUUCCUUUUUUCUUUUUCUUUUUUGAGAACUUGAUUCCCAUGGGGGAAGAAUUAUUGUAAUUAGAAAUAGAAUUGAUGUUUCUAUUAUUAUUAUUGUUGCUAUUAUGAUCAGGAAUAGAGAGAAGGUUAA
rnacentral:lncRNA from 1 species